GAACAAGCUAGACAGAGUACGAGGUGGAUGCCUCGGCGCUCAAGACCGAUGAAGGACG
rnacentral:rRNA from 1 species